UUAACCGCAAUGUGAAUAAAAAUAUAACAAGAAACUAUAUAAAAUCACAGCUGACGGUCUGUACGGUGAAUUAACUGCAGUCUGAAUAAAAAUAUAACAAAGAAACUAUAUAAAAUCUGAGCUGACGUUCUGUACAGUGAAUUAACCGCAAUCUGAAUAUAACAAAGAAAAUAUAAAAUCACAGCUGACAUUCUGUACAGUGAAUUUGGAGCGCCUUGGGGCAACUGUUUGUUGUGAUUUGGCGCUAUACAAGAAAAAAGUUGAUUGAUUGAUUGAUUGAAUUAACCGCAAUCUGAAUAAAAAUAUAACAAAGAAACUAUAUAAAAUCUGAGCUGACGGUCUGUACGGUGAAUUACCCACAAUCUGAAUAAAAAUCUAAAAAAUUAUAUAAAAUCACAGCUGACGUUCUGUAUGCAAAAUUAACCAUAAUCUGAAUAAAAUAACAAAGAAACUGUAUAAAAUCACAGCACCACAAUCUGAAUAAAAUAUAACAAAGAAACUGUAUAAAAUCACAGCACCACAAUCUGAAUAAAAUAUAACAAAGAAACUGUAUAAAAUCACAUCUGACAGUUUCUGACGGUCUGUACGGUGAAUUGACCGCAGUCUGAAUAAAAUAUAAAAAGAAACUAUAUAAAAUCACAGCUGACGGUCUGUACGGUGAAUGGACCGCAGUCUGAAUAAAAAUAUAAAAAGAAACUAUAUAAAAUCACAGCUGACGGUCUGUACGGUGAAUUGACCGCAGUCUG